CAAUGGAUUUAGGUGGUUUGACCUGGUGACAUAUGUCAGGAUAUGUAGACUACACAUAGCCCUAGGGUUAACCCUAGGAAGUCAUAUGAGACCCACCUGGCUGAAAAAGAAAGCUGAAGAAACAAGGUAGAUUGUCUCACUGGUGGCUAAAAUAAGGAGAAAUCAAAGGUAUGAUUUUCAUAAAUGCCUGGAAGACAGAAGAGGGAAGCAGAAAACAGACCAAAUGGAGAAGAUCUGAGACCUACUUAAAUUUAACUCCUGUCACAGAUAGCAGCAUCACUCUAAGGAAACAGCAGUCCCAAGUGUUGGUGGACAUAAUAAUAGCCUGUGCUCUCGCCUCUUGUAAUGGGAUAGAGGCUAUAGCAUCACACCCUGAAAAUUCACCAUCUCACUGAAGGAUUAAACAGGGUGCUCCCUAUUGUAAUCACUACAAGGAAAAACAGGGGAGAAAAUAAAUGGUAAAACCCACAGAAGAAUGUGCUGAAAUCAUCUUCUAACC